rnacentral:rRNA from 1 species
AACGAACGUUGGCGGCAGGCCUAACACAUGCAAGUCGAACGCUCGUAGCAAUACGAGAGUGGCAGACGGGUGAGUAAUGCUUAGGAAUCUGCCUAGUAGUGGGGGGAUAACCCGGGGAAACUCGGGCUAAUACCGCAUACGCCCUACGGGGGAAAGGCGGGGGACGUUUCGGGCCUCGCGCUAUUAGAUGAGCCUAAGUCCGAUUAGCUAGUUGGUAGGGUAAUGGCCUACCAAGGCGACGAUCGGUAGCNGGUCUGAGAGGACGACCAGCCACACUGGGACUGAGACACGG